GACGAACGCUGGCGGCGUGCCUAAUACAUGCAAGUCGAACGCAGUGGGGACGGGAGAGUAACAAGUGGGUAACCUACAAUCAGAGGAGAGAACACUUGGAAACAGGUGCUAAACCGAUACUGAUGGAUGAACCCGCGGUGCAUUAGCUAGUGGGUGAAGGAACGGCUCACCAAGGCCACGAUGCAUAGCCGGCCUGAGAGGGUGACCGUCACCACUGGGACUGAGACACGGCCCAGACUCCUACGGGAGGCAGCAGUGGGGAAUCUUCGGCAAUGGCCGAAAUUCUGACCGAGCAACCCCGCGUGCGUGAAGAAGGUUUUCGGAUCGUAAAACUCUGUUGUUAGAGAAGCGGUAUCUAACCAGGAAGCCACGGCUAACUACGUGCCAGCAGCCGCGGUAAUAC
rnacentral:rRNA from 1 species